UCCAAAGACCAGUGACAGCGUCUAGGGCAUGGUUUUCCAGCAUUUUUAAAAUCCCGACUUUUUCAGAACAAAACCCCAGUGCCACCCAAAUCUUGCACACUGAGGGUUUUGGACUCCAAAGCUCCACCAGCAGAGUGCUUCGCAGGCAGAGUCUUUUCUGUGAGAAAGACGACAGAGUAUCUGAGGACCACCUCCCUGCUAGCCAAGAAGAUUUUGAGGCGGUUUAGUCCCUCUGCUUUGCAUUCUGAAAACCGCAGAUGGAGAGGAAGAGGCAUAAAUCUCUCCCUCGUUGGAUUCUGCACCCCGCCCCCCCGCCUCGGUUUUGCAGCAGAUGCUCAGCCCAUGGGAGUGAUUCCCCGGGACUUGGGGUCUAACCCUCCUCUGCCACCACCCGCUUAGAGGGGCCGAUGGAAGAAAGGAUUAAAAACCAAGUGAUGGUGAAGGUUCCUUGGGGCACUGGACACCCAGGGUCACAUCUUCCUGGAUGACUGAUCGGAAUUAUCUUGGAGGAGAAAAGAAGCCCACAGCGGCACGAUGCUGGCCUUGAGAUGGCUGCCCCCCACCAGCAGGUCAGCCUCACUCAGGGACUGGUGGAUCAUCCCUCUGCACGUUCUAGACUCUUUACCACAUAUGUACAAAUCUGUGAACCUUACACACCGUUGUUUCAAAUGUUUGAAUGUUUUACAAUUUUACAAAGUGAGUAGCAUCUGUACAUGUCCUAUUUGUAACCUACUUUUUCCUUCAUUCAAUAUUAUUUGUUUGUAAUAACAAAACAGUGGAA